GAUGAACGCUGGCGGCGUGCCUAAUACAUGCAAGUCGAGCGAACAGACGAGGAGCUUGCUCCUCUGACGUUAGCGGCGGACGGGUGAGUAACACGUGGAUAACCUACCUAUAAGACUGGGAUAACUUCGGGAAACCGGAGCUAAUACCGGAUAAUAUAUUGAACCGCAUGGUUCAAUAGUGAAAGACGGUUUUGCUGUCACUUAUAGAUGGAUCCGCGCCGCAUUAGCUAGUUGGUAAGGUAACGGCUUACCAAUGCAACGAUGCGUAGCCGACCUGAGAGGGUGAUCGGCCACACUGGAACUGAGACACGGUCCAGACUCCUACGGGAGGCAGCAGUAGGGAAUCUUCCGCAAUGGGCGAAAGCCUGACGGAGCAACGCCGCGUGAGUGAUGAAGGUCUUUGGAUCGUAAAACUCUGUUAUUAGGGAAGAACAAAUGUGUAAGUAACUAUGCACGUCUUGACGGUACCUAAUCAGAAAGCCACGGCUAACUACGUG
rnacentral:rRNA from 1 species